CCUGGUUGAUCCUGCCAGUAGUCAUAUGCUUGUCUCAAAGAUUAAGCCAUGCAUGUCUAAGUACAAGCCGAUUUAAGGCGAAACCGCGAAUGGCUCAUUAAAUCAGCUAUGAUUCAUUGGAUCUGUACCCACACUUACUUGGAUAACUGUGGUAAUUUCUAGAGCUAAUACAUGCACCACGUCUCUGACCGCAAGGGAAGAGCGCUUUUAUUAGUUCAAAACCGGUCGGGCCUCGGUCCGUCACCCCACCGUGUUGAAUCUGAAUAACUUUGUCGCUGAGCGCACGGUCUCCGCACCGGCGCCGCCUCUUUCAAGUGUCUGCCUUAUCAGCUUCGAUUGUAGGUUAUGCGCCUACAAUGGCAUAACGGGUAACGGGGAAAUCAGGGUUCGAUUCCGGAGAGGGGAGCCUGAGAAACGGGCUACCACAUCUAAGGAAGGCAGCAGGCACGCAAAUUACCCACUCCCGGCACGGGGAGGUAGUGACGAAAAAAAUAACGAUGCGAGACUCAUCCCGAGGCCUCGCAAUCGGAAAUGAGUACACUUUAAAUCCUUUUAACGAGGAUCUAUUGAGGAGGGCAAGUCUUGGUGCCAGCAGCCGCGGGUAAUUCCAGCUCCAAUAGCGUAUAUUAAAGUUGUUGCGGGUUUAAAAAGCUCGUAGUUGGAUUUCAGUUCUGGACUGACGGUUCACCGCCCGGUGCAUACUGUCACGCUCCGAAACCAGCCACAAACAGCCCGCUGGCUCGCACGGGGUGCUCUUCAUCGAGUGUCCCGCGUGGCCGGGCAGAGUUUACUUUGAAAAAAUUAGAGUGCUCAAAGGCAGGCUACACUUACGGCCUGAAUGCCUAUGCAUGGAAUAAUGGAAUAGGACCUCGGUUUCUAUUUUGUCGGUUUUUCUGAACCCGAGGGUAAUGACUUAAUAGGAAAACAGGCGGGGGCAUUCGUAUUGCGACGCUAGAGGUGAAAUUCUUGGACCGUCGCAAGACGAAACUACUGCGAAAAGCAUUUGCCAAGGAUGUUUUCAUUAAUCAAGAACGAAAGUUAGAGGUUCGAAGCGCGAUCAGAUACCGCCCUAGUUCUAAACCAUAAACGAUGCUGACCAGCGAUCCGCCGGCGUUAUUCCCAUGACCCGGCGGGCAGCUUCCGGGAAACCAAAAGUCUUUGGGUUCCGGGGGGAAGUAUGGUUGCAAAGCUGAAACUUAAAGGAAUUGACGGGAAAGGGCACCACCAGGAGUGGAGCCUGCGGCUUAAUUUGACUCAACACGGGGAACCUCACCAGGCCCAGACACCGGAAGGAUUUGACAGAUUGAGAGCUCUUUCUCGAUUCGGGUGGUUGGGUGCGUGAUGGCCGUUCUUAGUUGGUGUGAGCGAUUUGUCUGUGUUUUUAAUUCCGAGAUAACGAACGAGACUCUGGGGCCUACUAACUAGGUCGAACGGAUUCUCCAGCAAUGGUUGUCCAGUUUCGCAAGCUUCUUCUGUUUAGAGGCGGAUUAAGCGGCAUAACUUUAGCGCACCGAGAAUUGAAGCAAAUAACAGAGUCCUUGUGAUUGGCCACCUUAGGUGUUCUGGGGCGCCGCGACGCGCCGCUACCCACUGAAGGGAAUCAACGUUGUCCGUUCCCCCCUCCGAGAGACGCGGGUAACCCGUUGAUCAUCUUUUCCAUGAUAGGGAUUUUGGAUAGUUUUGCAAUUGGUCUCCCUGGUGCCGAAAUGAACGAGAAUUGCCCAUCAAGCGCAAGUUCAUGAGCUUGCGUUGAUUACGUUCCUUGCCCUUUAGUACAACAUAACCGCCCGUUCACUUACUAACCCGAUUGAAUGAUUUAUGAGGCCCUCUUCCGGACUGGCCGCUCUUGGAUUUGCCCGGGGCCACCCCACCGCAGAGGGUUUCGCCGCCGCUGGGGCUUUUUCGGGACGCCUCGGAGGCUGACGGGAACAGAUGUCCCAAAGACUUGAGUCAUUUAGGAGGAAGA
rnacentral:rRNA from 1 species